AUUGAACGCUGGCGGAAUGCUUUACACAUGCAAGUCGAACGGCAGCACGGGGGCAACCCUGGUGGCGAGUGGCGAACGGGUGAGUAAUACAUCGGAACGUGCCCAGUCGUGGGGGAUAACUACGCGAAAGCGUAGCUAAUACCGCAUACGAUCUAUGGAUGAAAGUGGGGGAUCGCAAGACCUCGCGCGAUUGGAGCAGCCGAUGGCAGAUUAGGUAGUUGGUGGGGUAAAGGCUCACCAAGCCGACGAUCUGUAGCUGGUCUGAGAGGACGACCAGCCACACUGGGACUGAGACACGGCCCAGACGCCUGCGGGAGGCAGCAGUGGGGAAUUUUGGACAAUGGGCGCAAGCCUGAUCCAGCCAUUCCGCGUGCAGGAUGAAGGCCCUCGGGUUGUAAACUGCUUUUGUACGGAACGAAACGGCGCGGGUUAAUACCCUGUGCUAAUGACGGUACCGUAAGAAUAAGCACCGGCUAACUACGUGCCAGCCGCCGCAGUAAGAC
rnacentral:rRNA from 1 species